rnacentral:rRNA from 1 species
UACAGAGGUCCCAAGCGUUGUUCGGAUUUACUGGGCGUAAAGGGUGCGUAGGUGGUGAGGUAAGUCUGAUGUGAAAUCUCCGAGCUUAACUCGGAAAUGGCAUUGGAAACUACCUUGCUAGAGGGUUGGAGGGGGGACUGGAAUACUUGGUGUAGCAGUGAAAUGCGUAGAUAUCAAGUGGAACACCAGUGGCGAAGGCGAGUCCCUGGACAACUCCUGACACUGAGGCACGGAAGCUAGGGGAGCAAACAGG